rnacentral:rRNA from 1 species
UUUGCGAGCGGGGCUACCUGCAGUCGACGAAGUCAUGGAGCUUGCUCCGGAAGACUUAGUGGCGAACGGGUGCGUAACACGUGAGAAACCUGCCCCGGACUUUGGGAUAACAGUUGGAGACGACUGCUAAUACCGAAUACCACCGUCACCUCGCAUGGGGAGACGAUGAAAGGUCCGCCGGUCCGGGAGGGUCUCACGGCCUAUCAGCUUGUUGGAGAGGUAACGGCUCACCAAGGCAUCGACGGGUAGCUGGUCUGAGAGGAUGAUCAGCCACACUGGAACUGAGACACGGUCCAGACUCCUACGGGAGGCAGCAGUGGGGAAUCUUGCACAAUGGGCGCAAGCCUGAUGCAGCAACGCCGCGUGCGGGAAGAAGGCCCUAGGGUUGUAAACCGCUUUCAGGAGGGAAGAAAAUGACGGUACCUCCAGAAGAAGGUGCGGCCAACUACGUGCCAGCAGCCGCGGUAACACGUAGGCACCAAGCGUUAUCCGGAUUUAUUGGGCGUAAAGAGCUCGUAGGCGGUUCAGUCAGUCGGGUGUGAAAACUUGAGGCUUAACCUCAAGAGGUCACUCGAUACUACUGUGACUAGAGUGCGGUAGGGGAGCGGGGAAUUCCUGGUGUAGCGGUGAAAUGCGCAGAUAUCAGGAGGAACACCAGUGGCGAAGGCGCCGCUCUGGGCCGUAACUGACGCUGAGGAGCGAAAGCAUGGGUAGCAAACAGGAUUAGAUACCCUGGUAGUCCAUGCCGUANACGUUGGGCACUAGGUGUGGGUCUCAACCAACGAGAUCCGCGCCGUCGCUAACGCAUUAAGUGCCCCGCCUGGGGAGUACGGUCGCAAGACUAAAACUCA